GGACGAACGCUGGCGGCGUGCUUAACCCAUGCAAGUCGAACGGAAAGGCCCAGCUUGCUGGGUGCUCGAGUGGCGAACGGGUGAGUAACACGUGGGUGAUCUGCCCCUAACUUCGGGAUAAGCUUGGGAAACUGGGUCUAAUACCGGAUAGGACAAUCGUUUAGUGUCGGUUGUGGAAAGUUUUUUCGGUUAGGGAUGAGCCCGCGGCCUAUCAGCUUGUUGGUGGGGUAAUGGCCUACCAAGGCGUCGACGGGUAGCCGGCCUGAGAGGGUGGACGGCCACAUUGGGACUGAGAUACGGCCCAGACUCCUACGGGAGGCAGCAGUGGGGAAUAUUGCACAAUGGGCGCAAGCCUGAUGCAGCGACGCCGCGUGUGGGAUGACGGCCUUCGGGUUGUAAACCUCUUUCGACAGGGACGAAGCUUUGGUGACGGUACCUGUAUAAGAAGCACCGGCUAACUACGUG
rnacentral:rRNA from 1 species